rnacentral:rRNA from 1 species
GACGAACGCUGGCGGCGUGCUUAACACAUGCAAGUCGAACGGUGAAGCGCCUUCCUUUUUGGUGGGUGUGGAUGAGUGGCGAACGGGUGAGUAACACGUGAGUAACCUGCCCCCUUCUUCUGGAUAACCGCAUGAAAGUGUGGCUAAUACGGGAUAUUCUGGGUCUGUCGCAUGAUGGGUCUGGGAAAGAUAUUGUUUCGGUGUGGGAUGGGCUCGCGGCCUAUCAGCUUGUUGGUGGGGUGAUGGCCUACCAAGGCGGUGACGGGUAGCCGGCCUGAGAGGGUGGACGGUCACACUGGGAAUGAGACACGGCCCAGACUCCUACGGGAGGCAGCAGUGGGGAAUAUUGCACAAUGGGCGCAAGCCUGAUGCAGCGACGCCGCGGGAGGGAUGGAGGCCUUCGGGUUGUGAACCUCUUUCGCCAGUGAAGCAGGCCUGCCUCGUUUGUGGGUGGGUUGACGGUAGCUGGAUAAGAAGCGCCGGCUAACUACGUG